CCGGGAAUCGGCAUUUGUACAAAUACCGUCGGUGGCGCAGGCGAAAUGGAGAAGAGGUGUGCCUGUUUUAGUUUCGUCUUCUCCGGGUUUUGCGAGUGAUAUCCUUCGGUCACGUAUACAAGUAACUAGUGUAACUUUACCCUAUUACAACACCGAAGUUGUACCGUCUCAGAUCGGCUGAAACUUAACUGGUGCUUCUUGAGUUGGUCUAAUCAUACAUAUUCUGAGCAACUGGAUUGAGUGCAUUUGACUCAAAGCAAAGCUAGUGACAUCAAGAGGACAGACAACAUCAGCUGAUCAUUUGAUGGCUUCAACAGCACCCUGUGCACAGCAUAGUUGUUUACAAGGUAAUUCCACAGGUGCAUUGAUGACUUGUUUACAUAUUGGACAAAGAAACAAUUCUAUUGUGAGAGGGGGAGCUGGCUGGCUGAACUCAGAGGGCAAGAGAGACUGAGUUGAGACAUUCAAACAGAAUGAUGGAGGAGCUGUCUGCUUUAUGUGGUCAAUUACAUUCUGAAGUGAGGGCAUUGUGUCACUAGCGGCUGCAGUUCUUUUCUUCUGUGAUUUCUUGGAAGGACGUCCUCCUUUCCUUUGCUCCCUGCAGCUCGAGCAGAUUGGACAGUAUUCUGAGUGAGCUUGCCAUUGUGGUGACUGUGCAACAGCCAGCAGUGCUCCUUGGCUUUUUUCACACUUUGACAUUGCAAGGUAACAACCAAUACAGAAGUCAGUUGGGUGAACAAGUGGGUUGUCGUUUCCAAAUGUGAGUUUUUGUAUGCUUGUGAUAGUCGCUUAGAAUACUCAGAGCAGGCAUAACGAUGGUCAUCACGCCAAGCCUAAUGCCACAUACACCACAUAGGUGUCGAGGGCAGACCUGAUGUUCAACCAUUAUGUAACACACAAAGUUACUAGUACAGUAGUAAUGAGACUCUUUGAAUUUAUUGAAAAUUUCUUGUUAUAUAGCUGAACUGAGUUACACCUUAACAAGACAGUACAUGGUUCGUGAGAAAGUAGAAGAGUAUACUAAAAUAGAAUGCUGAUUCAGACUUCAAAGUGUAUCUUGCGGGUGUUGCCUCUUCAUUUGGUUUUCUGAUAAAUGAGAAAGAGGUCUCUAGUUGUCCGGACUCCACUUUCGUUGUUUCCUGCUAAACAGCUGCUGGCCGAGUGUAUACUAUCGUCUUCUGCAUGCGUGGGUAGAUAGCGACUUGGGCAUUGCCCUCCUUGUUGUGUUGUGUUUCGCUCAUUGUACCUGAUCACAACAACUUGUGCAGGUGUCACAUUAUGUAAACAGUCUGCGGGCUUACCUCAGCAACACGCGCGCUCGCUGUAUCUAUGUACGAA